AUAGCGUAUAUUAAAGUUGUUGCGGUUAAAAAGCUCGUAGUCGAACUUGUGUCCCGCGCCGCUGGUUCAUCGCUCGCGGUGUUCAACUGGCGUGUCUCGCGGGACGUCCUGCCGGUGGGAUCGUGUGUUGCUUCGGUGGCGCGCGUCCCAACUCGUAGCCGUCUCGCGCGGUUGCGAAUCCCAUCGCGGUGCUCUUUGUUGAGUGUCGAGGUGGGCCGGCACGUUUACUUUGAACAAAUUAGAGUGCUUAAAGCAGGCCAAUUUUGCCUGAAUAUUGUGUGCAUGGAAUAAUAGAAUAGGACCUCGGUUCUAUUUUGUUGGUUUUCGGAACCCCGAGGUAAUGAUUAAUAGGAACGGAUGGGGGCAUUCGUAUUGCGACGUUAGAGGUGAAAUUCUUGGAUCGUCGCAAGACGGACAGAAG
rnacentral:rRNA from 1 species